AAGACUAUACUUUCAGGGAUCAUUUCUAUAGUUUGUUACUAGAGAAGUUUCUCUGAACGUGUAGAGCACCGGAAACCACGAGGAGGAGGUGCAGUGUUCUCUCCUGAGCGUGAAGCUGGCCUUUGGUGUUGCGUUAUUGCAGCUACCAUUUGCUAUUGAUGAUCGUUCUUCUCUUCCUCUGGAAGAGCUAGAGGGAGAGAACGCAGUCUGAGUGGU